UAUUGCUUGGAGCCAAGUGUCUCUCCAAAACCCUCUCUGCUCUCUCUCUCUCUCUCUCUCUCCCACUUCUGCCCAAACACCUGUGUUCAACUCCCUCUCUACACGUUCUCUCUCAGUGGAUUUGAGGUUUUGAUUUUCGCCCUAGUGACAGGGAUUUUCUUCGCAAGUAGACCAAUUUUUAUUUUUACGAAAUUCAACUGCACCGCCGCUGCUCAUCAUCAUCAUCAGUCUACUGCCACCAUUGAAGAGGAAGAUC